rnacentral:rRNA from 1 species
ACUCCUACGGGAGGCAGCAGUGAGGAAUAUUGGACAAUGGGCGCAAGCCUGAUCCAGCCAUGCCGCGUGCAGGAUGACGGUCCUAUGGAUUGUAAACUGCUUUUGUACAGGAAGAAACACUCCCUCGUGAGGGAGCUUGACGGUACUGUAAGAAUAAGGAUCGGCUAACUCC